rnacentral:rRNA from 1 species
UGGGGAAUCUUGUACAAUGGGGGCAACCCUGAUGCAGCGACGCCGCGUGAGUGAUGAAGCCCUUCGGGGUGUAAAGCUCUUUCGACAGGAACGAUUAUGACGGUACCUGGAGAAGAAGCUGCGGCUAACUACGUGCCAGCAGCCGCGGUAAUACGUAGGCAGCAAACGUUGUUCGGAGUUACUGGGCGUAAAGAGUGCGUAGGCGGUUUGCUAAGUCUGGUGCGAAAUCUCUCGGCUUAACUGGGAGGGUGCGCCGGAUACUGGCGGGCUAGAGUGUGGGAGAGGGAAGCGGAAUUCCUGGUGUAGCGGUGAAAUGCGUAGAUAUCAGGAGGAACACCUGCGGUGUAGACGGCUUCCUGGACCACGACUGACGCUGAGGUACGAAAGCGUGGGGAGCAAACAGGAUUAGAUACCCUGGUAGUCCACGCCCUAAACGAUGCGGACUUGGUGUAGGCAGUUCAGUCUGUCUGUGCCGGAGCUAACGCGUUAAGUCCG